rnacentral:rRNA from 1 species
UUUUGUGUGCGCCCCCGCGCGCGUAAUACCGGCGAGCUCAAGUGAUGACCGAUAUUAUUGGGCGUAUAGCGUCUGUAGCCGGCCACGAAGGUUCAUCGGGAAAUCCGCCAGCUCAACUGGCGGGCGUCCGGUGAAAACCACGUGGCUUGGGACCGGAAGGCUCGAGGGGUACGUCCGGGGUAGGAGUGAAAUCCCGUAAUCCUGGACGGACCACCGAUGGCGAAAGCACCUCGAGAAGACGGAUCCGACGGUGAGGGACGAAAGCUAGGGUCUCGAACCGGAUUAGAUACCCGGGUAGUCCUAGCUGUAAACGAUGCUCGCUAGGUGUGACACAGGCUACGAGCCUGUGUUGUGCCGUAGGGAAGCCGAGAAGCGAGCCGCCUGGGAAGUACGUCCGCAAGGAUGAAACUUAAAGGAAUUGGCGGGGGAGCACUACAACCGGAGGAGCCUGCGGUUUAAUUGGACUCAACGCCGGACAUCUCACCAGCUCCGACUACAGUGAUGACGAUCAGGUUGAUGACCUUAUCACGACGCUGUAGAGAGGAGGUGCAUGGCCGCCGUCAGCUCGUACCGUGAGGCGUCCUGUUAAGUCAGGCAACGAGCGAGACCCGCACUUCUAAUUGCCAGCAGCAGUUUCGACUGGCUGGGUACAUUAGAAGGACUGCCGCUGCUAAAGCGGAGGAAGGAACGGGCAACGGUAGGUCAGUAUGCCCCGAAUGAGCUGGGCUACACGCGGGCUACAAUGGUCGAGACAAUGGGUUGCUAUCUCGAAAGAGAACGCUAAUCUCCUAAACUCGAUCGUAGUUCGGAUUGAGGGCUGAAACUCGCCCUCAUGAAGCUGGAUUCGGUAGUAAUCGCAUCAUUCAAUAGAGUGCGUGAUACUUCUCGCGCGCGACAUA